rnacentral:rRNA from 1 species
GCCGCCGCGGUAAUACGUAGGUGGCAAGCGUUGUCCGGAAUUACUGGGUGUAAAGGGAGCGCAGGCGGGACUGCAAGUUGGAUGUGAAAUGUCGCGGCUUAACCGCGGAGCUGCAUCCAAAACUGUAGUUCUUGAGUGGAGUAGAGGUAGGCGGAAUUCCGAGUGUAGCGGUGAAAUGCGUAGAUAUUCGGAGGAACACCAGUGGCGAAGGCGGCCUACUGGGCUCUUACUGACGCUGAGGCUCGAAAGUGUGGGGAGCAAACAGGAUUAGAUACCCC